GGGCGGGCCACGCAGUUCAGAAUGGAGCAACUGCGGGUCCUGAAGCGCGGGCUGCAGCAGGUCACCGGCCACGGCGGCCUGCGGGGCCUCCUACGGGUUUUCUUCAGGGCAAAUGAUAUAAGGCUCGGUACCUUGGUGGGGGAAGACAAAUACGGAAACAAAUACUACGAAGACAACAAGCAGUUUUUUGGUGAGUGCAGUAUUUAUAUAUAUAAAUUGGAUUGGGGUUGGGAUUCUGAGUCUUAUCUGUGACGGCCGGCAUGAGCUGAUACAAAGUUACCUGGAAAGGAAAACUCAAUAGGAUUUAAAAGAUGGGCAGAAGAGAGGGCUCAGACAGUUUGGGCACCUACCACCAUACAUAGUGACCUGAAAUACACCCGUCAACGAUGACAUACCUCAUCUUUCAGGAGAAGGAAGUCAAGCCAUCUAUCUAUCAGCUCAAACUAUUCUGUAGAGGUAUGUAAGCCAUAUUUACAUGGCUGCAAGCUGGUGCCCCAGAAGUUUGCAUUUUGUUCUAUAGCCA
rnacentral:lncRNA from 1 species